rnacentral:rRNA from 1 species
CACGUAGUUAGCCGGUGCUUUUUCUGCAGGUACCGUCACUUUCGCUUCUUCCCUACUAAAAGAGGUUUACAACCCGAAGGCCGCCAUCCCUCACGCGGCGUUGCUGCAUCAGGCUUUCGCCCAUUGUGCAAUAUUCCCCACUGCUGCCUCCCGUAGGAGUCUGGGCCGUGUCUCAGUCCCAGUGUGGCCGGUCACCCUCUCAGGCCGGCUACCCGUCGUCGCCUUGGUGAGCCAUUACCUCACCAACUAGCUGAUAGGCCGCGAGUCCAUCCUUGACCAAAAUUCUUUCCAACUCCUAGCCAUGCGGCUGAAGCUCGUAUCCGGUAUUAGACGCCAUUUCUAGCGCUUAUCCCAGAGUCAAGGGCAGGUUACUCACGUGUUACUCACCCGUUCGCCACUAAUCCCUGGAGCAAGCUCCAGUUCAUCGUUCGACUUGCAUGUGUUAAGCACGCCGCCAGCGUUCGUCCUGAGCCAGGAUCAAACUCUA